GAAGGGGACAAAGGGAACCUGGUGAGGAAGGGGAAAAAGGCACCUAGUGUGAGAAAGGGGAAACAAAAGCAACAGGUGAGAGGAAGGGGAAAGAAGGCACCUGGAGUGACAAAGGGAAAAAGAGAGUACCUGGUGUCAGAAAGAGGACAGAGGGCAUGGGAGUGAGAAAAGAGAAAGAAGGGCACCUGGUGUGAGGUAGGAGAAAGAAAGGCACCAGGUGUGAGGAAGGGUAGAGAAGGGCACCUGGUGAAAGGAAAGGGGAAAGAAAGCCAUCUAGUGUGAAGAAGGGGAGAGAAAGGCACCAGGGUGAGGAACAGAAAGAAGGGCACCUUGUGUGAGGAAGGGAAAAGGAGGACACCUGGUGUGAGGAAGGGCACCAGGUGACACCUGUUGUUUGGAACAGCACCAUUUUGACAAAUAGGUAAAAGGACAACAAAUAUGAGGAAGGGAAAAAGGGAACCAGGCAUAAGGGAACCUGGAGUGAGCAGGGAGAGAGGAACCAGAUGUGAAGAAGGGGAUGAAGGGCACCUGGUGUGAAGAGAGUGACAGAAUGGCACUUGGUGUGAGAAAGGGGAAAGAGGGAACCAGGUGUGAGGAAGGGGAAUGAAGGAACCAGGUGUGAUGAAGAAGAAUGGCGAAGGCACCAGGUGUGAGGAAUGGUAGAGAGAGGGCACCAGAGGGAGGAAAUGAAAAGCACCAUGUGUGAGCAAGUGGAAAGAAGGGCACCUGUGUGAUGAAGAAGGAAAAACUUGUAAUUGGUGUGAGGAAGAGGAAAGAAGGGCACCGAUUUGGAAGAGAGGAAUAGAAGGGCAACUGGUGUGCAAGAUGGUGGGAAAGAUAGGGCACCAGUUGUGAGAAAAGGGAAAAAGGGCAGAGAUGUGAGGAUGGGCAAAGAAGGGACCAGGUGUGAGGGAGAGGGAAAGAGUACUUCAUUUGGAAGGGAAUAUAGGACAUCUGUAAGGAAGGGGUAAGAGGGCACCAGGGGUGAAGACAGGAAAAGAGGGUACCAGAUACGAGAAGGGGAAAGAAGGGCACCUUGUGUGAAGAGAGGGACAGAGGCACAGGUAUGAGGAAGAAAGAAGGGCACCGGGUUUUAAGAACGGUGAAAGCAGUGCAUCUGGAGUGAGGAAGGGAAGAUAGUGAGGAAGAGGAGGUAAAAAAAAAUGAAGAGAACCUGGUGAAAGGUAGGGCAAAGAAGGGCACCAAAGUGAGAAAGAGGAAAGAAUGGCAUGGUGUGAAGAAGGGGAAAUAAGGGCACCAGGUGUGAUGAAGGGGAAAAAUAGGACACCAGUGUGAGGAAGGGGAAAGAAAGGCACCAGGUGUGAGGAGGGCGAAGUAGGGCACCAGGUGUGAGGAGCAUGAAGGGCACCUGGUAUAAGGAGGGAGAAAGGACACCUGGUGUGAGCAAAAGUAAAGAGAGCAAUAGGUGUGAAGAAGGGGAAGAAAGAGCACCAGGUGUGAGGACAGGGUGAGAAGGGCACUAAUGUGAGGAAUGAGAAAGUGUGCACUAGGUAUGAGGAAAGAGACUGAAGGACACCGGGUGUGUGGUGGGAAAGAGCACUAGGUGUGAUGAAGGGGAAGAAAGGCACCUGGUGUGAGAAAGUAGAAAGAAGGUAACUGAUGUGAGGAAUGGGGAAGAGGACACCAGGUGUGAGAAGAGAAAAGGAACCUGUUGUGAGGCUGGGGAGAAAAGGCAACAGGUUUGAGGAGGGGAAAAGAAGGGAACUGGGUGGGAGGAAGAAAAAGGAGGUCACCAGGUUUGAGGAAGGAAAAAGAAAGGCACCACAUGUGAGGAAGGGGGAAAGAAGGGCCACGGGGUGAGGAAGAAAAAAGAAGGGUACCAGGUGUGAGGAAGGGAAAGAAGGCAUCUGGUGUGAGGAAGGGGAAAGAAGGGUAGCUAGUGUGAAAGGGGGAAAAGGGUACCUGGUAUGAGUAAGGGGAAGAAAUGCAGCUGGUAUGAGGAAAGGGAAAGAAAAGCACCUGGUAUGAGGAGGGAGAAAUGUGGACACCAGGUGUGAUGAAGGGGAAGAAGGGCAACUGGGGUGAGGAAGGGGAAUGAAGGGUACUUGUGUAAGAAAGGGCACCUGGUGUGAAGUGGAUAAAGAAGGGCACCUGUUGUGAAAAGGGAGAAGGGCACCUGGUGUGAGGAGAAGGAAAGAAGGACACUACAUGUGAGAAAGGAAAAGGAAGGGCACCAGGCGUGGGGAGGGGAAAGAAAGGCACCAGGCGUAAGGAGGGGAAAGAAGGGCACCAGAUGUGAGGAAGGGGAAGAGCAUCAAGUGUGAGAAGGGGAGAGAAGGGCAGCAGGUGUAAGGGAGGAAAAGAAGGGCACCAAAUGUGAGAGGGGUACAGCAGGGACCAGGUGAGGAAGGGAGAGAAGGGCACCUGCUGUGAGGAAGGGAAGGGGGAAGAAGGACACCUGGUGUGAUUAGGUGGAAAGAAGGGUAGCAGUUGUGAGGAAGGAGAAAGAAUGGCACCAGGUGUGAUGAACCAAGAAGGCACCAUGUAUGACGAAAGGGAUGAAGGGCACAUGUGUGACGAAGGGGAAGAAGAUCACCUGGUGUGAGGAAAAGAAUGAAUGGCACCAGCUAUAAGGAAGGUGAAUGAAUGGCACCUGCUUUAAGGAAGGAGAAAGAAGAGUACCUGGUGUGAGGAAGGGGAAGUAGGGCAGCUGGUGAAGAGUACCGGGUGUGAGGAGGGGGGAAGAAGG